rnacentral:rRNA from 1 species
GAUGAACGCUAGCGGCAGGCUUAACACAUGCAAGUCGAACGGCAGCGGACCUUCGGGUGCCGGCGAGUGGCGAACGGGUGAGUAAUAUAUCGGAACGUACCUUUCGGUGGGGGAUAACGUAGCGAAAGUUACGCUAAUACCGCAUAUUCUGUGAGCAGGAAAGCAGGGGAUCGCAAGACCUUGCGCUGAUUGAGCGGCCGAUAUCAGAUUAGCUAGUUGGUGAGGUAAAGGCUCACCAAGGCGACGAUCUGUAGCGGGUCUGAGAGGAUGAUCCGCCACACUGGAACUGAGACACGGUCCAGACUCCUACGGGAGGCAGCAGUGGGGAAUUUUGGACAAUGGGCGCAAGCCUGAUCCAGCCAUGCCGCGUGAGUGAAGAAGGCCUCGGUUGUAAG